rnacentral:tRNA from 1 species
GAUGGCCAAGUUGGUAAGGCGCGUCACUAGUAAUGACGAGAUCGUCGGUUCGAAUCCGGCUCGAGGCA